rnacentral:rRNA from 1 species
GCGCAGCAGGCGAGAAUUUUUCUCAAUGGGGGAAACCCUGAAGGAGCGACGCCGCGUGGAGGAUGAAGGUCUUCGGAUUGUAAACUCCUGUCAUUUGGGAACAAGUUGCAUCGAUUAACUGUCGAUGCAUUGAUAGUACCAGAAGAGGAAGAGACGGCUAACUCUGUGCCAGCAGCCGCGGUAAUACAGAGGUCUCAAGCGUUGUUCGGAUUCAUUGGGCGUAAAGGGUGCGUAGGUGGCGGGGUAAGUCAGGUGUGAAAUCUCGAGGCUCAACCUCGAAACUGCACUUGAUACUGCCUUGCUAGAGUACUGGAGAGGAGAUUGGAAUUUACGGUGUAGCAGUGAAAUGCGUAGAUAUCGUAAGGAAGACCAGUGGCGAAGGCGAAUCUCUGGACAGUUACUGACACUGAGGCACGAAGGCCAGGGGAGCAAACGGGAUUAGAUACCCGUGUAG